rnacentral:rRNA from 1 species
AUUGAACGCUGGCGGCAUGCUUUACACAUGCAAGUCGGACGAGUGGCGAACGGGUGAGUAACGCAUCGGAACGUACCGAGUAAAGGGGGAUAACUGCCCGAAAGGAUAGCUAAUACCGCAUACUAUCCGAGCUGCCGAUGUGGGAUUAGCUGGUGGGCGGGGUAAAGGCCCACCAAGGCGACGAUCAGUAGCGGGUCUGAGAGGAUGACCAGCCACCCUGGAACUGAGACACGGCCCAGACUCCUACGGGAGGCAGCAGUGGGGAAUAUUGGACAAUGGGCGCAAGCCUGAUCCAGCCAUGCCGCGUGUCUGAAGAAGGCCUUCGGGUUGUAAAGGACUUUUGUCAGGGAAGCGGUACCUGAAGAAUAAGCACCGGCUAACUACGUGCCAGCAGCCGCGGUAAUAC